ACCGCUUCCAAUAGAAACCCAAAUAGCAUAAGAUUAUCAACAAGAGACAUAAGAAACAGAGAUAAAAAAAAAAAAAAGCGCAUACCAUCCACGUAAGAACGAGGAGCAACCACCAUAAUUAUCUGUGGCGGACCUGGAGGCGUUGGAUACCCUUCAGCGAAAUACCCUUGGUACCCACGUGGUGGCCCCGGUGGUGGGUAUCCUUGGUACCCACGUGGUGGCCCCGGUGGUGGGUAUCCUGGAUACCCUGGAGGUGGUGGCCCCGGUGGUGGGUAUCCUGGAUACCCUGGUGGUGGUGGUGGUGGUGGUGGGUACCCUUCGUGUGGUGGUGGAGGAGGCGCUGAUGGCGAGUACCCUGGAGGCGGGUAAG
rnacentral:lncRNA from 1 species